ACCAAAGGAAACUUGGGUGGCAAUGAAUGGGUCAGGAUCAACGUCCAACACCAAGUCCUUGCUUCCGGUCAUAUGAUUAGUUGCUCCGCUAUAAGGCAACCAUGACACCCCAUCGGAAGCACACUCAUGCAUAAGAUCAAUGCUUGGAUUUAGGUACUCAUUAUUUAAUGCGUCCUUUCAGGUUAGUAAUAAUGGUCUUAGGAACCCAGAUAGACCAUUCAAUGUACUCAUAAGGGGAACCAACAAAU
rnacentral:lncRNA from 1 species